UGGGGUGGGUUCAUACUAUCUUGGCAUGUGCAAAGGAGGAGAUCGAUCUCCUCUCGAGUGAGAGACCUAGAAUCAUUUUAAGGUUUCUGGAUGAGAGAAAAUCAAAGAGAAGAGAGUCUUCAUCUGAUUUUUCUCUACCAUCUAGCAUACUCUUCUGAUCUAUCUUCAACAUCAAAAAAGUCUGAGGUGGUCAAAGAAGGAGAUCAAAUCAGAUCUGCCAUAAAAAACUGACUGUGCGAGCUAGUACUCCCAGGAGGG
rnacentral:lncRNA from 1 species